rnacentral:rRNA from 1 species
ACGCAUUAAGUGCCCCGCCUGGGGAGUACGGCCGCAAGGCUAAAACUCAAAGGAAUUGACGGGGGCCCGCACAAGCGGCGGAGCAUGCGGAUUAAUUCGAUGCAACGCGAAGAACCUUACCAAGGCUUGACAUGUUCUCGAUCGCCGUAGAGAUACGGUUUCCCCUUUGGGGCGGGUUCACAGGUGGUGCAUGGUUGUCGUCAGCUCGUGUCGUGAGAUGUUGGGUUAAGUCCCGCAACGAGCGCAACCCUCGUUCCAUGUUGCCAGCACGUCGUGGUGGGGACUCAUGGGAGACUGCCGGGGUCAACUCGGAGGAAGGUGAGGACGACGUCAAAUCAUCAUGCCCCUUAUGUCUUGGGCUUCACGCAUGCUACAAUGGCCGGUACAAUGGGUUGCGAUACUGUGAGGUGGAGCUAAUCCCAAAAAGCCGGUCUCAGUUCGGAUUGGGGUCUGCAACUCGACCCCAUGAAGUCGGAGUCGCUAGUAAUCGCAGAUCAGCAACGCUGCGGUGAAUACGUUCCCGGGCCUUGUACACACCGCCCGUCAAGUC